rnacentral:rRNA from 1 species
GACGAACGCUGGCGGCGUGCUUAACACAUGCAAGUCGAACGGUAAGGCCCUUCGGGGUACACGAGUGGCGAACGGGUGAGUAACACGUGGGUGAUCUGCCCUGCACUUCGGGAUAAGCCUGGGAAACUGGGUCUAAUACCGGAUAGGACCAUGCGCUUGACGGUGUGUGGUGGAAAGCUUUUGCGGUGUGGGAUGGGCCCGCGGCCUAUCAGCUUGUUGGUGGGGUAAUGGCCUACCAAGGCGACGACGGGUAGCCGGCCUGAGAGGGUGACCGGCCACACUGGGACUGAGAUACGGCCCAGACUCCUACGGGAGGCAGCAGUGGGGAAUAUUGCACAAUGGGCGCAAGCCUGAUGCAGCGACGCCGCGUGAGGGAUGACGGCCUUCGGGUUGUAAACCUCUUUCAGUAGGGACGAAGCGCAAGUGACGGUACCUACAGAAGAAGGACCGGCCAACUACGUGCCAGCAGCCGCUGUAA